rnacentral:rRNA from 1 species
AGAGUUUGAUCCUGGCUCAGAUUGAACGCUGGCGGAAUGCUUUACACAUGCAAGUCGAACGGUAGAGGGGGCAACCCCUUGAGAGUGGCGAACGGGUGAGUAAUAUAUCGGAACGUGCCCAGUCGUGGGGGAUAACGUAGCGAAAGUUACGCUAAUACCGCAUACGAUCUAAGGAUGAAAGCGGGGGAUCGCAAGACCUCGCGCGAUUGGAGCGGCCGAUAUCAGAUUAGGUAGUUGGUGGGGUAAAGGCUCACCAAGCCAACGAUCUGUAGCUGGUCUGAGAGGACGACCAGCCACACUGGAACUGAGACACGGUCCAGACUCCUACGGGAGGCAGCAGUGGGGAAUUUUGGACAAUGGACGCAAGUCUGAUCCAGCCAUUCCGCGUGCAGGAUGAAGGCCCUCGGGUUGUAAACUGCUUUUGUACGGAACGAAAAGGUUUCCAUUAGUACUGGGGGCUCAUGACGGUACCGUAAGAAUAAGCACCGGCUAACUACGUGCCAGCAGCCGCGGUAAUACGUAGGGUGCAAGCGUUAAUCGGAAUUACUGGGCGUAAAGCGUGCGCAGGCGGUUAUGUAAGACAGAGGUGAAAUCCCCGGGCUCAACCUGGGAACUGCCUUUGUGACUGCAUAGCUAGAGUACGGUAGAGGGGGAUGGAAUUCCGCGUGUAGCAGUGAAAUGCGUAGAUAUGCG